GGGUGCGAUCAUACUAGCGUUAAUGCACUGUAUCCCAUCGAAACUCUGCAGUUAAGUGCACUUGGGUUAGAGUAGUACUGGGAUGGGUGACCUCCCAGGAAAUUCUAGUGUUGCAGCCU
rnacentral:rRNA from 1 species